rnacentral:lncRNA from 1 species
GGCGCCGUUUGUGGGAACGAAGGUGAUCUUUUCAUCACCGGAGUUCCACUCUAAACAAACCCACUGAGAUCCACGAUGGCUGAUCACAAUGAAAACAACAACCUUAACAUUCCAAAUGACCUGAGCUCUGCUCAAGAAGGGCAGCAGUUCUCCUUUUCCAGUCCCACAACACCAAACAAUCAACCACCCAUUCCUUUCAACCCCUUGCCAAGCUUGGCAGGGAAUGCCUCCGCCGCUACCUUGUCCAACCAGGACCUCCAAACCAUCGCCCUCCAACUAUAAAACACCGCCCACUGGUUGGGGCAGAUGAUGCAGCAACGGAGCCUUAGCACCCCAGCAAACGUAUUGCCAGUGGUAGUAGAGCCCCAGACCAAUGAACCUCAACCUACUCUCAACCAUCCCCAAACAGUUAGCCGCGAAACCGGAGAAAGGGGGAGAAGAGCCAGGGAAGAGGAAGAACCGGAGGCCAGAGUUCAUGGAAGGAGGGUGAGAGAGAUGAUUGAGAACGAUAAAGUCGAUAGUUAUUCCGUCGGAACAACCGGAAGGAUGGGGAGGGAGACAUGGGAGGAGGAGUGUCGCUAGGAGAAGAAGCCCAGGCAGGAAGCGGAGAGUGUAGACCAAAAGUUGCAAAAAAUGAGAGAGCAGCUUUUGACCGAGUUAGGGGCGAAGGACCCCAGCCAAACUCUUCUGCCUACCUCCUCACCCUUCUCAACAUGGGUGCAGCAGGAGACCGUUCCUAAGAAGUUUAUGAUGCCGCCUAUGACCAC